UAGGAAUGGUAUAAGCUUACAAUGAGUAC
rnacentral:piRNA from 1 species